GUAUUUUUUCAAUCGCUCAGUUGGAUCAUGUUAUACUAUAGGUGUGGUGUUUGUACUUUUUUUAGAAAUUUUGGAAACUUCUACACCAUUAAAAUAUAAAAUAAAGAGUCAUUUACAUUUUCCCCCUAAUCUUGCCCUAGUCUCAUCUUUACCCCUAAAAAACAUGUGCUCAACUUUGCCCCUCUUCCGUCUGGUGUCGUUUCAGAAAUACCCCUC
rnacentral:lncRNA from 1 species